rnacentral:lncRNA from 1 species
GGCAGGGUAUAAAUACUAGAAUUAUUAUUAUUAUGAUGAAAUGUUGUUGUUGUUUAGUCGUUUAGUCGUGUCCGACUCUUCGCGACCCCAUGGAUCAGAGCACGCCAGGCACUCCUGUCUUCCACUGCCUCCUGCAGUUUGGUCAAACUCAUGUUUGUAGCUUCGAGAACACUGUCCAGCCAUCUCGUCCUCUGUUGUCCCCUUCUCCUUGUGCCCUCCAUCUUUCCCAACAUCAGGGUCUUUUCCAGGGAGUCUUCUCUUCUCAUGAGGUGGCCAAAGUCUUGGAGCCUCAGCUUCAGGAUCUGUCCUUCCAGUGAGCACUCAGGGCUGAUCUCCUUCAGGAUGGAUCGGUUGGAUCUUCUUCUCAAGUCCCAUUGUGGAAUAGGGUGUCCCUAUUUUUACUGAAGAAACGUUGGAGGGCAUGGAACUGUAGUAUUGGGAAGGACCCCAAGGAUCAUCUAGCCCUUAGCAGGAUUUGCCCCAUGGGCCAAAUUUGACAAGUGACCUAGAAUUCAGCCCCACCCAUCAGCUGACAUCACAAUGGUGUCAGCUGAUUGACAGAGGGUCAUGGCUUGGGGGAAAUGGCUUCGUGGGCCAAACUUGGGGGACAAGAUGGGCCUGCAAUCUGGAGGUUUCCCCCCUCCCAGUCUAGUGAGUGCCAUGAAAACCUGAGUUCACUGAACUGGACAUCAGUAUAAUUGACAAUGGACCCAUUGUAUGAUAUUAACCUCACUUCCCAGGUAGAGUUUUCCCACAUGUUCCAUGUUGAAUCUGGUCUAUCUGUGGGUUUUACAGGACCUAUCGUGGGAUAGGGGAGAACAUUGCCAAAAAAAGAAGAAGAAAAAGACAUGGACGGCUGGUUGACACUUGUGACAUUCAGUAGAUGGGAAGAAGAUAUUUCCACGAAUAAGGAGAACUUGGCCUGGCAGAUCUUGGAGCCAAAAAUGGUUUUCCAAACCAGUGUUCCCCCAUUCUCUCCCCUCCCUUUUAAUUCCCUUUUCAGCAAGGAGGUCUGACACUGACAACACUUGAUUCAUCCUCAGCCAGGGCAAUGGGAACAGGAAGAGCGCUAAUGUCUCAGCAGCCGAUGAUAAGGGAGGGAAGAAAAAGUCACUGUCAAGCUCAGUCCCCUUGGAGAUGUCCUCUGCCUCGAUGCCUUUUGACAACACCGCUCUGAUCUCAUUUGCUUUCCUCGGCCUGUAAUUGUUUUGAAAAGCAAAGCACAUCAUGGCAGCCGCAAGCUUCGCAGGGCUUGUGGAGAACUGGUCGUGAUCCCAGAAGCUUGGAGGAAAAGCAGGGAGGUUCUUAACGCUGUUCCUUCUCCAGCAGAGUCAUGGCCACAUCCAGCGUUGCUGUCAAGAGGUUUGAGAUGCUCUGACUCUAAUGAUGUAGUUCACUUUUUUGCAAGGGUGUGUGUGAGUUGGCCCAAACUGCCCUUUUAUGCUCCUCACUGCUCUGAUCAUCAAUAUAGCAAUGUGUCUCUUUCCACCUGGGAGUCUAGAACAGGGGUAGGCAAACUAAGGCCUGGGGGCCGGAUGCGGCCCAAUCGCCUUCUCAAUCCGGCCUGCGAACGGUCCGUG